AAAAAGCUCGUAGUUGGAUUUCUGGUUGCGUUACCAAUGUCCGCCGACGUGCGUGCGCAGCGGAGCGCUUCCAUCCUUCUGUUAACGUCUCUUGGCAUUCAUUUGCUGGUGGCGGGCUCAGAUAUUUUACCUUGAGAAAAUUAGAGUGUUUCAGGCAGGCUAGGCCGGAAUACAUUAGCAUGGAAUAAUAGAAUAGGACUACGGUCUCUUUGUUGGUUCGAGGGACUGCAGUAAUGAUUAAUAGGGAUAGUUGGGGGCAUUAGUAUUUAAUUGUCAGAGGUGGAAUUCUCGGAUUUGUUAAAGACUAACUUAUGCGAAAGCAUUUGCCAAGGAUGUUUUCAUUAAUCAAGAACGAAAGUUAGGGGAUCAAAGACGAUCAGAUACCGUCCUAGUCUUAACCAUAAACUAUGCCGACUCGGGAUUGGGGGCGCGCAACUAUCCGCCUUCAGC
rnacentral:rRNA from 1 species